UACGAAGGGGGCUAGCGUUGUUCGGAUUUACUGGGCGUAAAGCGCACGUAGGCGGAUCGAUCAGUCAGGGGUGAAAUCCCGAGGGCUCAACCCUGGAACUGCCUUUGAUACUGUCGAUCUGGAGUAUGGAAGAGGUGAGUGGAAUUCCGAGUGUAGAGGUGAAAUUCGUAGAUAUUCGCAAGAACACCAGUGGCGAAGGCGGCUCACUGGCCCGAUACUGACGCUGAGGUGCGAAAGCGUGGGGAGCAAACAGG
rnacentral:rRNA from 1 species